AUUGAACGCUGGCGGCAGGCCUAACACAUGCAAGUCGAGCGAGCGUCGGACGGGUGAGGAAUGUAUGACGACUGCCCGAGAGAGGGGGAUAACUACAGGAAACGGUAGCUGAUACCGCAUACUAUCGUGUGAGCCAUAUGGGAGUAGCUAGUAGGUGGGGUAAUGGCGUACCGAGGCGACGAUCCCUUGCUGGUCUGAGAGGAUGAUCAGCCACACUGGGACGGAGACACGGCCCAGACUCCCAGGGAGGCAGCAGUGGGGAAUAGUGCACAAUGGGAGCAAGCCUGAUGCAGCCAUGCCGCGUGUAUGAAGAAGGCCUGAGGGUUGUAAAGUACUUUAAGUCGGGAGGCGUUACCGACAGAAGAAGCACCGGCUAACUACGUGCCAGCAGCCGCGGUAAUUC
rnacentral:rRNA from 1 species